GGGUAUUUGUGAGUGUUUUGUGGCUUUUGGCCAACAAGCAGGACUGGUUUUUCCCAACUUCAGUUCUUGUUGGAUUCUCAAAGAGAUCGCGUGUUUAGUGAAAUAAUAACUAACGCGUGUUUAGUUGUUGUCUCGUUUUUGGUUCUGUUUUCCCCCAAAACAAAAAAAAAAAAAAUGUUAUGGUGAUGUGUUGACACACAAUAAAAGAAUUGUAAAACAGAAAAAAAAGGAAACAAAAAACAACACAUCUAAAAACGCAAACUGACCAAAACGCCAAUUCGUUCAGAACAAAAAGUAAUAAUAUUAUUCUUUACAUUUUCAAAUCAAAAAAAAAAAAAUAAUUUACAUCAACACUGGAUGUGAUUUCAAUUCGAGCGGACGUGUGUGAUUGCAAAAAAAAAACAACAACAAUGAAAAUUUUGAAAAUAAAAUUAAUACUGAAAUUGAAAUAACAAAAUGCGAUAAAAUAUGUAUGCGGAAAAUUCUUUUCACCAUUUGAAACGCCUUUGAGAUAAUGUAGCCGCCGGCAAAUGUUUUACAAUCGUGACAAUUUUGAAAAACAAAACAACAAAACGUGAUAUAAAAAAAUUAAUUGUAGCAGUUUCGAAUCAAAAUACGGAAUUCAAACGCUUUGGAUAAACAAACUUGCUUUUGGUCUUUUCUUCUUCUCUUCUUCUUGGCAAAAACAAAGUUAAGAUCCUUAUCAAAAAAUCUCAUGGCAUCGAAAUUAAAAACCAAAACACAGCAACAUAUCUUUCAAAUCUUUAAAAUUCGAGAAAAACAAAACAAAACCUAAAAAUGUGCAAUAAUUAACAAAGUCAAUAAGUGAGUGUAAAAUACAAAUAAAAAAGGAAUUGUAAGCGAAUAAGUGAAUCAGUGAGCGGGCGAGUGAACAAAUGGAACGCCACUACAUUUAAUUAAUUAAAAAAUCUCUUAACUAAUGACAAUCGUGUUAAAAAUAACAUAAAUUUUCAAAGAUAACAAAGCGUGGACGAAACCCCCGCAAAUAACAAAGAAAACAAAAAAUAAAAAAAAAGAAAAUCCCAAAAAAAAAAUAAAACACUCAGAGAUAACGACAAACAUCAACUUCCAGUUAAAUCUUCUUCAGCAAAUCCCCCGAAAAAAAAGAAUCCCCAAGGAGCCACGGAGCAAAACAGGCAACAACGGCAGCAGCAGCAAC
rnacentral:sRNA from 1 species